ACUUUGCUGACGAGCGGCGGACGGGUGAGUAAUGCUUGGGAAUAUGCCUUUUGGUGGGGGACAACAGUUGGAAACGACUGCUAAUACCGCAUAAUGUCUACGGACCAAAGUGGGGGACCUUCGGGCCUCACGCCAAAAGAUUAGCCCAAGUGGGAUUAGCUAGUUGGUAAGGUAAUGGCUUACCAAGGCAACGAUCCCUAGCUGGUUUGAGAGGAUGAUCAGCCACACUGGGACUGAGACACGGCCCAGACUNCUACGGGAGGCAGCAGUGGGGAAUAUUGCACAAUGGGCGCAAGCCUGAUGCAGCCAUGCCGCGUGUGUGAAGAAGGCCUUCGGGUUGUAAAGCACUUUCAGUAAGGAGGAAAGGGUAGUCUUUAAUAGAGGCUAUCUGUGACGUUACUUACAGAAGAAGCACCGGCUAACUCCGUGCCAGCAGCCGCGGUAAUAC
rnacentral:rRNA from 1 species